UCUGUGAGAGUGAGAGUGAAAUAUCACAAUAUCUCAGAAAUAAAUACAUACUAAAAAGUGAAUUUUUAUGUGAUAAAUGCGGGAUAAUGAUGAGUUCAGACAACUCCAAAGGAUUAUACGCGUGUAGAAACAAAUUUAAAGUUAUAAGACCUCAUAAAAAAACAUUAAUACAACAAUGCGAUAAUUCGGUGAGCCAAAGAGACGGUACGAUUUUUGCGGAUUCUAGACUCCCACUAGGCAAAUUGUGUCUGUUGUUUGCAAUAUAUUUUUCUAUUGACAAAGUUAAACGUAAAUUCAUAAAAUCACAUUUAUAAAUUUCUUUAAAAUCUAUUAAUAAAUAUAUCAAGGUCAUUGAAAUGGUAGUCGCUCGCUGGGCGAAAGCUAGGGGAAAUGCUACAUUGGGGGGAAGGGGAAAUAUCGUGGAAUGUGACGAGACGAAAAUUGCCACACGUAAAUACAAUAGAGGCAGAUAUAUCAAAGGAGUAUGGGUGUUUGGGGGCAUCGAGAGAAACACAAAGAAGGCGUUUAUUGUACCUGUUGCCAGGCGUGAUUUCUACACCCUGAAGAAGAAUAUAGUCAAACAUAUUCGAACAACAACUUUGGUUAUGACCGACUGUUGGCGAGGGUACUCUGGACGUAAUAACUACAGAUACCACCAUCAAACCGUCAACCACAGGAAAGAAUUCCCAAACAAAAAAACAGGAGCAACAAAUUGAAAGAGUAUGGAGAGACCUUAAAGACGCCAUCUCCAGGUUAAGAUGACAGUUACGGCCUUGAUUUUAUUUUGCUUGACUGUAUAUUAUGAUGAGGUUCGGAGAAAUUGAUGGACUUUUCGUACAUAAGUAGGAGAAUUUAAAUGCAUGAAAAUAAACAUGUUGCCCUGAGGAGUGAGAUUUACCACUCGAAACGUUGGCAAAGAUGGAGAGAAAGAAUUGUUGGUGUUAUUUAUUUUGGAAUUUAAAAGUGCUGAGAACCGCAUAAUGGUCUGGAGAAGUAGGAGGUGUUUUAAUGUUAAUAAUCUCUUGUGAUUGUAAAUUAUUUUAAAUUGGA